rnacentral:rRNA from 1 species
AUACGUAGGGGGCGAGCGUUGUCCGGAAUGAUUGGGCGUAAAGAGCUCGUAGGCGGCUUGUCGCGUCUGCUGUGAAAACGCGGGGCUUAACUCCGCGCUUGCAGUGGGUACGGGCAGGCUUGAGUGUAGUAGGGGAGACUGGAAUUCCUGGUGUAGCGGUGGAAUGCGCAGAUAUCAGGAGGAACACCGAUGGCGAAGGCAGGUCGCUGGGCGAUAACGGACGCUAGGGAGCGAAAGCAGGGGGAGCGAACAGGAUUAGAUACCCUGGUAGUCCAUGCCGUAAACGUUGGGCACUAGGUGUGGGGGUCUUUGGCUUCUGCGCCGUAGCUAACGCAUUAAGUGCCCCGCCUGGGGAGUACGGCCGCAAGGCUAAAACUCAAAGGAAUUGACGGGG